GCAGCUCAAUAAAUCUGUCCAAAGUUAACAAAGUUGAUGUGAAUGUGUUUCGCGUCGUUAUGAAAAUACUUGUGGAUUAAUCAAACGGACAUGCGCACUGGCGUCCGACUGGAUGGACGCAGCUGCUCGAUAUCGGAUUUGUAGUGUUUUCAUGAUGAGGCGAACCGUAGAUCUCUUAACAAGAUUUUUCUUUAUUUGUUUUGUUUUUAACCACAGCUAUUAUAACCCUCUGCAGCGUAAACAAACCUAUAUACGACGUUGUUGCACAUAUUUUUUUUCCACCAAUGGACUCUGUUAGUAAAAGGAAAUCUCAGAUAUUGCAGCGCUGCAGAUCAGUUUAAAACUACCCAGAUCAACGCAGCAAAAGCAUACUCUCAGUUAAUUUCAAAUUUAAAAUGCAGAACAUCUAUUUUUUGUUUGUUUGAUUGUUUUCUUCAUUUGUCGCAAAACCACAGAGAAAAUACUGUAUGUCCAUUUAAACGCGUUUGUGUUGUAAUGUCAGUAUAACAAUAGAAAUUGAGUUUAGGAGUUACCACUGUUCAACAGCAGGGGGCGCAGUGGAUCACUAACAGCGGAGAGAGGCGGAAAAUGAACCUUUUACAUCGAAAGAAAGACACAGAAAUGACAAGAGCAUUAAUUUAACCAGGUUAUGUUGUUUAUUCUAACUAUUUAUUAGAAAUAAAAAUAAAACAAUGAAAUGUGCUGUA